UUUUGUCCCUCAAAUUGGUGGUCUUUAAUUUUUGUCCUUCACUAAAAAUACUUUGAUUUCGGAUUAAAACCCCUGCUCAGUAAAAAAUAAAAAAUAAAAAAAUCGCAAGGCUGCAAAAUUCUACCUAAACUCUACCUUAGGUAGAGUUUUCCAUGCUUCAAGUUGCCUUAAGGCAGACUUUUGCCUGAAGGUAAAGUUCUGCUUCUGCCUUAAAAUUCUGAAUGAAUUUCAAGGUAAUAUCUAUCAAGAAAAUGAUAAAGGCCGAAUGAAUUCAAUUCCGCAAUCACUCAGCUGACCAAGAGAUGCUAACAAUGAGAUGAUGCAUUAUCAUUUAGUUGCAUGAAUGUUCGUAUCUGUAGCUUCAUGACGAGAUAUCAUGUUACGUACCGUAUUUUUAUACAUUGGGACAACCCGGAUUAACUAUGACAAUUAAGGGCCAAGACUAUUCCGGGAUUUGACGUCGGGACUUUUGACCAUUUGAUUUUAUUUUGAGACAUAAGUUGAAUAUGAAAUUGAUGGCAUUGGACACUUAGGAAAAAUUGGGACCACAAUUCAUAAAAUUGGAAUUUAAAAGUCUUGCACCAAAAGCCAUGGUGGCCGUGUGGACUUGAAAUGGUCCCACACAUUGUGUGGCCAAUUUUAAUUGGUCCAACACAUGUGUGGGCCAUAAACAAAGGGAGAUAUUUGUGGAUAAAAAAAAAAAAAAAAAAAGACUAAGUCAUCUUUCUCAUUUCCCACUUCUACACUUAGAGAAAAAUAACAAGACUUGGAGAGCCUCCACUCCCCCAUGGUUCUCGGCCACAACCAAGAAAAAUCAAGUCCCAUUUUUGCCUCUCUAAAAUUAUUUCUUUGGUAUAAACCCACUAUUUGGAGGUCCCUAAGUAGCGUGGAAGUAUUGUUUGGGUCAUUCAACCACUCAUUUUUCCCAUUUACAAACCCUAGCCUAUUGGUGGAUUGAAGAAUAAAGGUGAGUUCUAAUCUUGUUUUUGGAGUUAUAAAUGUUGUAUGCAUAUUGUAGUAUGCUAAAAUGGAUAAAAAUCAUGAAAUAUGGAAUGUUGAAGUUGGGUCUUGUGUUGGGUGUGUUGACCGUGUGAAGUAUAUGUGUGUGGUGUGGUAUUGGGUUGACGAAUUAAUUGCUUGUAGCAUAUUGAUUGUCGUAGAGUGGAGAAGAGAAUAAAAAUCAUCGAUACAUGUAUAUGUGUAGUGUAGCCGUGUAUAUAGCCUCCAAAUGGUAGCAAAGAAUGAAUUAAUAUCGCUUAGCGUCGUAAUGGUUGUUGUGAUGAUUUGUAUGUUGGAAAUGAGAGUUAAAUGUCCCGAAUUGAUAUAGUAAGCGUUGCGGACUGAUUUGGAGAACUUUGUGCAUUUAAUGCAAUCCUUAUAUAUGAGAACCAUUAACAUAUGAAUAUGUGUAGUGUGAAUGAAUGUGAGUCAUAGAUUAUGCCGAAUAUCGCAUUAUUAUCGCUUAAGCGCUUUCGUGUCGUCGUUACGAAUUUUAGUUUGGAAUUGAGCAUUUAAUGACUUAAGAUUGAUGUUGAGAUUGUACGGGCUGAUUUGAGGGUUAUUGUGCGUUGAUGUAAUUUGUAUAUUUUAUGAAAAUGGUAUCGUUAUAUUGUGAAUUGUGAUACAAAACAUGAAUUGAAAGUCGGAAGUGUGCCCAGUGGGCUGCUCACGGGUAGGGGCUGUUUUCGGCCAAAAAUUUGGAGAAAUUGUGGAUUGUUGGAAAAAUUAUGUGAAUUUUUUAGAAUGUUCUUGAAUGUUGUUAGUAUGGGUUUGGGUUAAUAAUCGAAUGUACGAACGAUAUUGUGGCUUGAAAGUAAGCCAUUGAAUUGAAUAAUUGGAAAGUUGUCGAAUGGUGUAAAAGAGAGCUACUAUUAUUAUUUUGCCUUUCGAAUUGAUUAUCGAUGUUGCUAGGUUGGUUAUUGUGGUUGUUGUUGUUGAUUUUGAGCGAGUUAAAUUCUCGGGAUGGCCUAUUUAUAGGGGAAAUGCUGCCGAAUUUUCUGUAGAAUUUAAUGUUAGUUGGAAUAAAUGGCUUAAGUGCCUAUGUUUAAUAUUGGAUAUUCGUUGGCAUAUUUGUAGACCUUGGGGAGCCCGAGGCGUAGAUUGGAAUUUACUUUAUAUUGGCCAUCUUGGAGUGCGUACGAGGUACAGACGCACAGUUUGGUGAUCUACCCAUUUAGGACACCCUAUUCUGCUGUUUGGAGUGCUCUUCUCAUUUCAGAGCACACAUUUUGGUAUAUAUUCGUUCGCCAUGUAUAUAUGUAUUUGUUCAGGGGCACGGCGGGGCCCUGUCCCGCCAUAUGAUUCGGUUUGUCUGUUUAGAGGUCUGUAGACGUAUUUGUGGGUGUGUGUGCCUACUUCUGUACGGAUGUGUUUGCAUGACUCUAUUCGUUAUGGCAGCCUCGUCGGCGUGCAUUUUGUAUAUGUUUGUGGCAGCCUUGUCGGCGUGCAUUUGUAUAUGCGUUUUGGGCCGUUGUGCCAUUUGACAGCCUUGUCGGCUUUUGACAUAUUUGAUAGCCUUGCCGGCUUUUUGAUAUAUGUGCAUAUGUUCGGCGAUGUAUAUUCCGCCGCCUCUUCUGAUUCUGAUAUAAUGUUUUGUACGCGCAAUCGCGCAAGAUAA